rnacentral:rRNA from 1 species
GACAGAGGGUGCAAACGUUGUUCGGAAUUACUGGGCGUAAAGAGCGUGUAGGCGGCUAGGUAGGUCCGUUGUGAAAACUCGAGGCUCAACCUCGAGACGCCGGUGGAAACCAUCUAGCUAGAGUCCGGAAGAGGAGAGUGGAAUUCCUGGUGUAGCGGUGAAAUGCGCAGAUAUCAGGAAGAACACCCGUGGCGAAGGCGGCUCUCUGGGACGUGACUGACGCUGAGACGCGAAAGCGUGGGGAGCGAACAGG